CCAAUAGCGUAUAUUAAAGUUGUUGCAGUUAAAAAGCUCGUAGUUGAAUUUCGGGGUCAGUAGAUUGGUCAUGCCUCCGGUAUGUACUGGUCUUACUGGCUCUUCCUUCCUGAUGAACCGUAAUGCCAUUAAUUUGGUGUUGCGGGGAGACUGGACUGUUACUUUGAAAAGAUUAGAGUGUUUAAAGCAGGCUCGCGCUUGAAUACAUUAGCAUGGAAUAAUGAAAUAGGACGUUAAUCCUAUUUUGUUGGUUUCUAGGAUCGACGUAAUGAUUAAUAGGGAUAGUUGGGGGCAUUAGUAUUCAAUUGUCAGAGGUGAAAUUCUUGGAUUUAUUGAAGACUAACUACUGCGAAAGCAUUUGCCAAGGAUGUUUUCAUUAAUCAAGAACGAAAGUUAGGGGAUCGAAGACGAUCAGAUACCGUCGUAGUCUUAACCAUAAACUAUGCCGACUAGGGAUCGGAUGAUGUUAAUUUUUUAAUGACUCAUUCGGCGCCUUACG
rnacentral:rRNA from 1 species